rnacentral:rRNA from 1 species
GACGAACGCUGGCGGCGUGCUUAACACAUGCAAGUCGAACGGAAAGGCCCCUUUGGGGGUACUCGAUUGGCGAACGGGGGAUUAACACGUGAGUAACCGGCCCUGGACUUCGGAAAACCUUCAGGAAACUGGGGCUAAUCCCGGUUAGGAAUCCUUGCGGCAGGGUGGGGGUUGGAAAGUUUCGGCGGUUUUGGAUGGACUCGCGGCUUAUCCCCGUGUUGGUGGGGUAGUGGCUUACCAAGGCUUUGACGGGUAGCCGGCCUGAGAGGGCGACCGGCCAUUGUGGGAGUGAGAUGCGGCCCAGACUCCUACGGGGGGGAGGAGUGGGGAAUAGUGCACUAUGGGCGGAAGUCUGAUGCAGCAACGCCGCGCGCGAGAUGACGGCCUUCGGGUUGUAAACCGUUUUCAGGAGGGGCGAAGCUUGGUGACGGUACCUGCAGAAGAAGCACCGGCUAACUACGUG